rnacentral:rRNA from 1 species
GACGAACCCUGGCGGCGUGCUUAACACAUGCAAGUCGAACGGAAAGGCCCUGCUUUUGUGGGGUGCUCGAGUGGCGAACGGGUGAGUAACACGUGAGUAACCUGCCCUUGACUUUGGGAUAACUUCAGGAAACUGGGGCUAAUACCGGAUAGGAGCUCCUGCUGCAUGGUGGGGGUUGGAAAGUUUCGGCGGUUGGGGAUGGACUCGCGGCUUAUCAGCUUGUUGGUGGGGUAGUGGCUUACCAAGGCUUUGACGGGUAGCCGGCCUGAGAGGGUGACCGGCCACAUUGGGACUGAGAUACGGCCCAGACUCCUACGGGAGGCAGCAGUGGGGAAUAUUGCACAAUGGGCGGAAGCCUGAUGCAGCAACGCCGCGUGCGGGAUGACGGCCUUCGGGUUGUAAACCGCUUUCGCCCGUGACGAAGCGUGAGUGACGGUAAUGGGUAAAGAAGCACCGGCUAACUACGUGCCAGCAGCCGCGGUGAUACGUAGGGUGCGAGCGUUGUCCGGAUUUAUUGGGCGUAAAGGGCUCGUAGGUGGUUGAUCGCGUCGGAAGUGUAAUCUUGGGGCUUAACCCUGAGCGUGCUUUCGAUACGGGUUGACUUGAGGAAGGUAGGGGAGAAUGGAAUUCCUGGUGGAGCGGUGGAAUGCGCAGAUAUCAGGAGGAACACCAGUGGCGAAGGCGGUUCUCUGGGCCUUUCCUGACGCUGAGGAGCGAAAGCGUGGGGAGCGAACAGGCUUAGAUACCCUGGUAGUCCACGCCGUAAACGGUGGGUACUAGGUGUGGGGUCCACUCCACGGGUUCCGUGCCGUAGCUAACGCUUUAAGUACCCCGCCUGGGGAGUACGGCCGCAAGGCUAAAACUCAAAGGAAUUGACGGGGCCCCGCACAAGCGGCGGAGCAUGCGGAUUAAUUCGAUGCAACGCGUAGAACCUUACCUGGGUUUGACAUGGAUCGGGAGUGCUCAGAGAUGGGUGUGCCUCUUUUGGGGUCGGUUCACAGGUGGUGCAUGCCUGUCGUCAGCUCGUGUCGUGAGAUGUUGGGUUAAGUCCCGCAACGAGCGCAACCCUUGUUCACUGUUGCCAGCACGUUAUGGUGGGGACUCAGUGGAGACCGCCGGGGUCAACUCGGAGGAAGGUGGGGAUGACGUCAAGUCCCCAUGCCCCUUAUGUCCAGGGCUUCACGCAUGCUACAAUGGCUGGUACAGAGAGUGGCGAGCCUGUGAGGGUGAGCGAAUCUCGGAAAGCCGGUCUCAGUUCGGAUUGGGGUCUGCAACUCGACCUCAUGAAGUCGGAGUCGCUAGUAAUCGCAAAUGAGCAACGCUGCGGUGAAUACGUUCCCGGGGCU